rnacentral:misc_RNA from 1 species
GAAAUGCGAUAAGUAAUGUGAAUUGCAGAAUUCAGUGAAUCAUCGAAUCUUUGAACGCACCUUGCGCUCCUUGGUAUUCCGAGGAGCAUGCCUGUUUGAGUGUCAUGAAUUUCUCAACCUCACCAGCUUUGUUAUGAAGCCGUGUGUAGGCUUGGAUGUGGGGGUUGCAGGUCCACACUACCCGUGGUCUGCUCCUCUGAAAUGUAUUAGUGGGUUAGGCCCCCUAAUCUAUUGGUGUGAUAAUUAUCUACGCCGUGGAUUGGGAUGGCUAAUAUAGACCUGCUUCUAACCGUCCUUCACCGGACAACUCUUGACAAUUUUGACCCCAAAUCAGGUAAGACUACCCGCUGAACUUAAGC